UAGGGAAUCUUCGGCAAUGGGGGCAACCCUGACCGAGCAACGCCGCGUGAGUGAAGAAGGUUUUCGGAUCGUAAAGCUCUGUUGUAAGAGAAGAACGUGUGUGAGAGUGGAAAGUUCACACAGUGACGGUAACUUACUAGAAAGGGACGGCUAACUACGUGCCAGCAGCCGCGGUAAUACGUAGGUCCCGAGCGUUGUCCGGAUUUAUUGGGCCUAAAGCGAGCGCAGGCGGUUUAAUAAGUCUGAAGUUAAAGGAAGUGCCUUAACCAUUGUUCGCUUUGGCAACUGUAAAACUUGAGUGCAGAAGGGGAGAGUGGAAUUCCAUGUGUAGCGGUGAAAUGCGUAGAUAUAUGGAGGAACACCAGUGGCGAAAGCGGCUCUCUGGUCUGUAACUGACGCUGAGGCUCGCAAGCGUGGGGAGCACACAGG
rnacentral:rRNA from 1 species